rnacentral:rRNA from 1 species
CGCCUAACACAUGCAAGUCGAGCGAGAAAGUGGGGGCAACUCCAUGAGUAAAGCGGCGAACGGGUGAGUAACACGUGGGUAAUCUACCCAUAAGACCGGGAUAACCUUCCGAAAGGAGGCCUAAUACCGGAUAAGACCACAGGACGUUGGUUUAGUGGUUGAAGAUGGGGAUUCUUCGGAAUCUAUCGCUUAUGGAUGAGCCCGCGUCCCAUCAGCUUGUUGGCAGGGUAACGGCCUACCAAGGCUAAGACGGGUAGCUGGUCUGAGAGGACGAUCAGCCACACUGGCACUGAAACACGGGCCAGACUCCUACGGGAGGCAGCAGUGGGGAAUCUUGCGCAAUGGGCGAAAGCCUGACGCAGCGACGCCGCGUGAGGGAAGAAGGUUUUCGGAUCGUAAACCUC